UCUGGGAUUAGAUACCCUGUUAUAAAAAUGUAAAUAUAUAAACUUGAGUAGUAAUAGUUAUGUUCUAAAAACUUAAUAAAUUUGGCGGUAUUUUAUUAUAAUCAGAGGAAUUUGUUUUUUAAUUGAUAAUCCUCAUUAAAUCUUACUUAAUUUUUAAUAUUUGUAUAUCGUCGUCAUAAGAAUAUCUUAAAAAAGUAAUAAUUUUCUAAAAUAAAAAUUAUUAAUAAUGUCAGAUCAAGGUGCAGUUUAUAAUUAAGAAAAAAUUAAUUACAAUAAAAUUAUUUAUAAUGAAUAUGAUUUUUAAAUAAAUUAUUAAAGGUGGAUUUGAAUGUAAUAUAAUAAAUUAUAAUUAUUUGAUUAUAUAUUUUAAAAUGUGUACAAAUCGCCCGUCCACUC
rnacentral:rRNA from 1 species